rnacentral:rRNA from 1 species
UACGUAGGUGGCAAGCGUUGUCCGGAAUUACUGGGCGUAAAGCGCGCGUAGGCGGCUCUUCAAGUCAGGCGUGAAAGCCCCGAGCUUAACUCGGGAACUGCGCUUGAUACUGUCGAGCUAGAGUGUGGAAGGGGCGAUUGGAAUUCCGUGUGUAGCGGUGAAAUGCGUAGAUAUACGGAGGAACACCAGAGGCGAAGGCGGAUCGCUGGGCCAACACUGACGCUGAUGUGCGAAAGCUAGGGGAGCAAACGGG